CUGUGUUAUAAUUUAAAACGCUUAAUUAUGUUAGUCCUAAAAAAAAUUAAUCAAUUAAUUUGAGUCCUGCUCAAAAGAGAUAUACUUGUUUACAGUGCAAAUUAAUGGCAAUAGGGAUUUACGAUUUCAUUUGCAGGAAAAACAUGGGCAACCUACCCAGUUGGUAAAAUUUCAAUUCAAAAACUCUUUAGAUUUUACUGUGUGGAUGGCGCAGGAAGAGAAACAAAAUAAUAUUCAGUACUGCAGUCACAGGAGUACAAAAACAUGAAGCAUCUUAUUAUGUAUGUAUGCCAUUCUCAAACAAUAAUUAUUGUACAAAACAAGAUAAAGAUAGAGACACAGCUUUAAAAUCCCAAGGAUCCUGCGAAAAGAAAAGUGAAAAUGUUGUCUCAAUUAAUGUAGUAUAGAUAGACAUUUUUCUUUAUUUUAGUAUUAAAUAAUUAUUUAGAAUAUUAAUAUGUAUUAGUUUUAAUAGUAUUAAUAUGUAUUGUAUGAAUAAUUCCCAUCAUGUAUCUGCUAGCUAAAGCAACAAAAUAAAUCAAAAUGAAAAAACAUUUCA